GCAGCCAUGCCGCGUGUAUGAAGAAGGCCUUCGGGUUGUAAAGUACUUUCAGCAGUGAGGAAGGGGGUGUCGUUAAUAGCGGCAUUUCUUGACGUUAGCUGCAGAAGAAGCACCGGCUAACUCCGUGCCAGCAGCCGCGGUAAUACGGAGGGUGCGAGCGUUAAUCGGAAUUACUGGGCGUAAAGCGCAUGCAGGUGGUUUGUUAAGUCAGAUGUGAAAGCCCGGGGCUCAACCUCGGAACUGCAUUUGAAACUGGCAAACUAGAGUACUGUAGAGGGGGGUAGAAUUUCAGGUGUAGCGGUGAAAUGCGUAGAGAUCUGAAGGAAUACCAGUGGCGAAGGCGGCCCCCUGGACAGAUACUGACACUCAGAUGCGAAAGCGUGGGGAGCAAACAGGAUUAGAUACCCUGGUAGUCCACGCCGUAAACGAUGUCUACUUGGAGGUUGUGGCCUUGAGCCGUGGCUUUCGGAGCUAACGCGUUAAGUAGACCGCCUGGGGAGUACGGUCGCAAGAUUAAAACUCAAAUGAAUUGACGGGGGCCCGCACAAGCGGUGGAGCAUGUGGUUUAAUUCGAUGCAACGCGAAGAACCUUACCUACUCUUGACAUCCAGAGAACUUUCAGAGA
rnacentral:rRNA from 1 species